rnacentral:lncRNA from 1 species
AACCCGGGACAACCAGCUGCCAAUCUUGGCAAAGUCUUUGUCGUUAAUCUCCACGGUCGCACGAGUUGUAGCCGUAUUCUCCACGGACUGUACCGUCCCUCCUUUAUCCACCUCACGGCUCUUGGGUGAAACAGGGGGCUCGUUACAUGGAAGCCAACGCGAUACUUGUAAAAACGGAAGAAUCAAGGCGGCUUUCACUGGAGAAAUCCCGAACACGGCCGACGAAGACGGCGAGGAAAAUGAAAUUCCAGCCGUUGACUUCACGAGCGAGAUCAAUCCAGAGGCGAUCGGGGAGCUAGAGCUGUCUCCAAGCGCCUCCGUCUCAAUCGUGCUGUACAUAGAAGCAUGAGUCCUCCGGUGACUCGGCUGGAAACCACCACGGGACUUGUUAGGUUCCGAAUCCACGCUCUGAUUGGACGGAGUGGCGAAGAUCCGAGAGCGAAUCCAGCACUCCGUGAGCGAGGCCCGGCAGUUUCCAACGCGAGCACCGGCGGAGGAAGCAAG